ensembl:lncRNA
CACAGACAGACAGCUGAACGCAGCAGUGGGGGAAGAGAGAUUGACAACUAAGAGGGAGAGAUGUUGAGGGAAAAUUAGGAAUGAGGAAUGUUGAUCUAGCCCCUACAGGUCAGGUCACGCUCAAGAUUCAGAUUUUCUGGCAUCGGAGGGAGAGGAACACUGGUAGCUUAGGCUAGCUCCAGUUGUGGACCGGCCAUCUGGCAUACCGGGCAUCGUCCCGGUGGGCGUUGACUUAUUUUAAUUUUGAAAGAAACAACACAUGGAAGCAAUGGAGAACGCCAUCUCGUUCGGUUGUUUAGAAUUGAAAAUCCGGCUGCCAGGACAACGUAACGUUUUCACUUUAGUACUCUAUUUCCAAGUGGGUGCUACAUAUUGGUGGUGGUUAGUGAGGUCCCCCCUUCACUUUAGGCGUCUUUGAGUGUUAUUAAUUAUUAUUAUUCUUCAUGUUUAACCUCUGUUUUCCUUUUAUUCCUAGUCUGUUUUACAUAGUUUUGAAUGAUGACUAUAUGCUCUGUAAGGUGACCUUGGGUGUCUUGAAAGGCGCCUCUAAAUUAAAUGUAUUAUUAUUAUUAUUAUUAUUAUUUGAGUGGAACAACUUAGCAGGUGUCCAUAUAGCCUAUAUAGGGUUAGCCUAAUUGAACUAGUUUAAGAAGAGAAAACAUUUUGACUAAAACUAAUGACUAAAAGUUGACUAAAAUGUAAGGACUUUUCGUCGACUAAAACUAGACUAAAACUACAAAGGAAAACAAUGACUAAAAUGUGACUAAAUAUACUAAAAUUUUUUGUCAAAAGACUAAGACUAAGACUAAAUCUAAAAUAGCUGACAAAAUUAACACUGCGUUGACCAUAUAGCAUGGUAAGUUACCUUAGCCUGGGGCUAGCUAGGCUACAUUAUGAGACAUGUCCAAAACAAAGUAGAAAACGUUUUUACAUUGAAUGUGAUGUGACCUAAUUAAGACUGAGAGACACACACACACAAACACACAGACUGAGACAGCUGAACGCAGCAGUGGGGGAAGAGAGAUUGACAACUAAGAGGGAGAGAUGUUGAGGGAAAAUGGCACAUAGAGAAAAUAAAACUGAUGGGGAGAGAGUGAAGGAGGAAGGGGAGAAGAGAGAGUAUAAAAUAAAUGUGAGCGAAAGAUGGAGUGAGAGACAUGGACAGAUAGUGAGAAGGAUGGAAAGAUAGGAGGUGGUGGAAUAAACAAAUAGUGAGAGAUCAAAUGAGAGAUAGGAGAAGGUAGAGACAGAGAUAGUGAGAUAGACAGACAGAGAGACAGAGAGUGUUAGAGAUGGAGGGAGAUAUAGGAGGAGGUGGAGACAGACCCACAUAGAGGAAUGUUGAUCUAGCCCCUACAGGUCAGUUCACGCUCAAGAUUCAGAUUUUCUGGCAUCGGAGGGAGAGGAACACUGGUAGUUUAGGCUAGCUCCAGUUGCGGACCGGCCAUCUGGCAUACCGGGCAUCGUCCCGUUGGGCCGUUGACCCAAUGUAGGCCGGUCCUGUCCGCUAUGUUUUUUUUUUUUCUCCCUCUCUAAAAUUUCCCCCAAUUGGGCCAGCCAAUUGGCUACAGAGGGCUAGCAGUUGCCAGCAUCGACACAUAUUAUUGGUCUAGUUUGUUAUUGUCAAUCAAUCAUGGUUGGUGCUGAAAAACUGCGACUUAAAAAGCUGAAGUCUCUGGAGGUGGAAGCUGCUAAAUGUUCAAAAUUGACAGACCUAUUUGGUGCCGGGGUUACCACCCAAGCAGGUGCUGCUGCGCCGGGAGACGAGCGAGUGGAGGCAUGUAUCAUGCCCAGACAGGUUCAGGGAAAGUCCAGCUGGUCAGUUCAGGGAGAGAGCCAGACCAAUGCAGGCAGCCCAAAGACUAGACCACCUGAGAGGGAAAAGGCUGUAGAGAGUGAGGAGUGUGUCAGCCUUCACUGCACUAAAGUUUGGCUGUUGAGUCUCCUCUAGUAUGGUUGACCACCCUAUGUAUGAGAGCCUAAGGAGUUGUUUUCCCUCUGUCCCCUUUUGAGGACCUGCUUUGUCUCCUCCAUCAUUAACUGAGCCACUUUUGGGUUCCUGAGCUGAUUUCAUGUGGAGUUGGCCUUUAUCUUCCUCCACCAAACUAAUGCACUGUGACUAUCGCUGCACUGGAUGGCAGAGCAAAAUAUGGCAUUGCGCAAAACAAAAAUUGCUCAGCCGUUGAAAAAAGGUCAACGAAUGAACUUGCCUGUCCUGUGUGGGUGCGUCUGUGUGCGUGCG